UCCUCUCUCUCUCUGCGCUGCAGCGGUGCUGCGUUAUCGGGCGGCGAGCUCCCGUUCGAAAUCUACCGCCAUCCGCCACCCUGAAGCUCUCUGUCGGACUGCACGGAGCAGGGCAGGACGCCUACAACACCCCUCGAGACAAAGAGGGCAGUACUCUUAAGGUGCCAGGGAGAAGUUUAGAAAGGAUUCAAGAACCAAACGUCCGCAUGAAGGGUCCCGAUCGUCCACAGAUGCUGCCCGACCUGCUGAGAUCUUUGAGUGGCUGGUUCUUUCAUGUGAGGGGACCACGGCUUCUGAGAACCCUGUCUGGGAACGUUUGAAGUACCCGAGCACCUUCUCACUGCAUCCCCAGGGUGUCCGUGAAGCUGGAGGCUGAGAUGGGAAAGUGUCUUGAGUCUGAUGUUGGCGGCGUUGCUGCAGGGUGUCUGUGACGAAGACGGAGGCUGAGGUGGGGAAGUGACUGAUAGCGCACCUGCUCCAGGUUGUGCAUUGAAGACGGAGGCUGAGGUGGGGAAGUGACUGAUAGCGCACCUGCUCCAGCACAGUUUCUCAACUGGGGAGCAGAUGAGAGGACUCGUGAUUGGAAUAGUCACAGCUUUGUACUGGAAAGACUGCUGAAGCCCAAAUCCUGGAGUCUGUUGUUAUUUUCUGUUCAUUAAAACAAAUACACACUG